UCUGCUGCAGGAUUAGCAUGCGUGCAGUUUGAGGUUUGAACCGCCGCGAGCGUUUAAUCAUUAUAAAGUACAGAUUACCUUGUGCAAUAUGGGUCAGAGUCAGACAACGGGCUUUUAUCCCCGAGAGCAACAGUCUGCAAACAGCGUUAGGUAACUUAUCAGCCCUCUGCCGCGCUCAGGCCGCGACUCAGUGCACUUUGACUGUCACCAGCAGAGAGACUGUGGGACCUGGACUCUCAGCCGGUCUGCAGUCUGCAGGUUUUCUCACGGUGUCUGUCUGUCCUACAGUGUUUAAGGUCAGGCAGCCGUGGUGGUCCUGGGUUAGUUUUGUGUAAGCUGAAAGACUCAUUAGGGUUAGAGAGUUCUGGAUCAUGAUUACGGCGAACGUUCGGAGCAGCUUCUUCAUGGUCCAUGAGCUAAAGUUAGUCAAAAACCCUAAUCACACAGUGAACCUGCAGCUGUUGUGGCCCCUGGAGGUCUGGGCCCCUGGAGCAGUUACAGUAAUCCAGCCUCAGUCUCGAAUAUGAAGAUCUACACGCAGAGACUUAAAACUUUCAUGUGCGCUAUCAUCCCAGUGAGCAUCACGUCUGCGUUUACUGCGUCACACUUGUCAUCCGCACAACGCUAACACGCAGUAACCAUGGCAACGGUACAGCCAGACGUGACGGUCACUGUGACGAAACGCUCGUGUCAAGUCUCUGCGAGUUCACUUCGACCUGAGCGGAAACCAGAAGAAACCUCCAGCCACGUGCAGGUCUCCAUCAGCUGUUCACUGACUGGUCAGGUGAUGACAACUGAGCAAACUCCAUUUGCUGAUGAAGACCAUCAGAUGCGCUCGAAAGACCUGCAGAAAGCUACGCCCCCUGCGUUCUGACUGUCCUGUGACCAGAGCUGCGUGGACGGGAACCCCAAACACUUUGUUACAUCGCUUCCAUCAUCCUGAAGCUCCGCUCAGAGAAAGCGCUGAGCUCCAGGCUUCAGCUACAGGUGGAGACUGAGAUGGAGUCCCGUGCUGAAAGGCCGGCAGAGGACCAGGAGCGGAUCCGCAGGCUGGGGGCUGAGCAGGAGACCGAAGCCCUGCAGCUUUAGGCCUCCGAGGAGGAUCACUGAUGCACCUGGAGGUGGGCCUGCGCUGCAUGCCGCGUUCAGCCGGGUCCGGUCCAGCUGUGCAGGGUCGAUCGGCACCACGACGAGGACACGAGAGAGGAGCGAUGCCUGCAGGUGUGUUGACUCAGCAGGGACGAUAUCAAAUGAGAAAAGUGGAUCUACAGGAGAAUAAAUAUUUGAAAGCGCUGCAGACUGCCCGAGAGCCGAACUGCAUUACACUCCUUCAGUUAUCCUUCGAAUUCACCUGCCGCCUGAAUUCUGUGUUUCUUGAGACAAAUAAAGACAACUGAUGCAGAAAAAUGUACCAUAAUGCAGGAAAUUAAGUGUUUGAUGCUCAAAAUUUGCCCCCCCCCAAACGAACGCUACGCCCUUGAGUGUCACUGAAGACACUGUGGCAGACAGAAAUGGCUGCUGCAACGGACGAUUCUGCAAAACCCAGGAAUCCAGUGGCAGCGUUUCUAAGCGCUCUUCCUUUCCUGUGCAGCUUCGGUCGGGCCGAUCGCGGUUCCAGGUUUUUAAAAAGCCAACAUGUUGAGUAUAGUUCUGUAUUUUCCUGUUUGUACCGUAAUGUUUUAAAUACUCCACUACUGGAUACUGUGAGAUGCAAAACAUCACAAACGACACAAAAAGUGAUGCAGUCGGUUCCAGAAAUGGAAAAACAUCUGUAAUUUUAUUGUAUUUAAAAGUGCCGGUGUAAAAUGUACCACUAAACUCUGAGACCGGCUGCGUCCAACAUGGCUGCAACGUUUCUGCCAUGCAGGUGAAGCAACGCAGGUGAAAAUGAAGAAUCGACCUGACUCUGGCAACUUCUUCACAGUAAUAU